CUGCCGCCCGCCAUUUUGGCUUCAUCCUGCCGAGUUCCGCCUCGGCUCCUAGAGGACCCUCCGUGUCCUACUACCGCUGGAAGUGGGUCUCCCCGGUCCCAAACGAGGUUCUUCGUGGAGGCUCCGAGAAUCGCUUUGCCAACAUAACAUUCCUUGAGUUGUUUCAGGGUCUAGUCCUUUUCUGUAAUCCUGGUGCUGAGAGCCAGACUCCAGAAUGUGGUGCCCAUCCCAAAGUAUUGCUGCUCGUGGAUGCCUGACUAGAACAUUGUCCAGCAACUAGAAUGGCCCCGUUCCUUCAUUACUUUCUCACAUCCUGACCCACAAUUUCACUAACUGGGGGAGAAGAGUGUGCAAUGUUAAGAACUCCUGGCUCCAAUUACUAGCUGCAUGACCUCAAGCAAAGUAUUCCUCAGCUAUAAAGUGGGGAUAACACACGACAUACCUUGUAAGUUCUGUGUGUGUGAAGAUUAAAUGAGACAGUGGUUGUAAACUGAUAUUAAUCAUUUGUUUAACGUUAGAUUUUAGAGUUACUGUUGUAAGCUUUAAAUGUGCAGUACUUGGUAGCGAUUUGAUGAAUAUGUACUUUAAUUUUCUUUUUGUUUUCCCCUGUUUUUGUAUCAUUCUUUAAUCAGUCUGAAAGGUUUCUGGCUGCUUGAUGUAUGCCUACUUACAACUUACCAUAAAAGGAGCCUCAUGUAUACUUCCAACAGUCCCCCAACCCCUUAUGCCAAAAGCAAAUAAAAACAGUCCAGUUGAAAGCAAUGUGUGAGCUGAUAAGACUAUUUACAGCACUGUGUGAAGAGGAGUGAAAGCAUCUUGCUGUUUUUCCUUUAAGGCUUAUUUGGAGUAUGUAUAUCUUAAUAGAGUCAAACACACCACAUACUAAAACUUUUUUAUGCUUAAAAAAGUUAAUAGCGUGUCUAAAUUAUCC
rnacentral:lncRNA from 1 species